AGUAGCAGUUUGGCGGUAUAGAAAACGUGCCGCUAAUUAGAGUAAAUGGUGCCACAACAAGAGGAGGCAAAAGAAGGGGUCAGUAUUCUACAAGCUGCCAAAAGAAGAACCAAGGCAUAGCCGAUGGAUAGCAAAAAUAAACUAGCGAUCACACUGUUGAGUGACAGGUUUACUCUACAAAUCAUGGCAAAAGGUGGCUGAAUCAGCAGAUGCUAACAUACCCAAAAUAAUAGCCCAAGCUAGCUUCCCACCACACACAAAAUUUGCGGGAAAUAGUCUGUUUAAUUUAUGCCAUAAACAAUUCUUGUUUCUGUUGCUAUGGUUUCAUAGAUAAUACAGUGUUAAAUUUGAUAAUUGAUCAAUACUUCCUCUGGGAUAAAUGAUUGCGGUGGCUGCCGCCGAAUCUGCAGAUUCUAGCAUAGCUGAUAACAGUGCAAGGGCAGCGUGAAGCCUAGAUAGUAAUAUUGACCACACAUUAAGGGGAAAAACAAAUCCAGAUGUCACAACUUGUAAUUUUAGAUCCGGCCACGGCAUUCUCCCUACCUCUCAUCGCGAUAGGAAAAAAAAACCCACUCCUGCCGGCAGCUUCAUAGAUCAGUAAUAUAUACUAUCCUGUCCAUGUUUGUCAUGUCCUUUUCAUCAAACUGAGAUGUGAAUCGAAUCGGACGAAAUGUAGACAGAUAAACACUUUUAGCGCUGCUCUCUAUUGUUAGUCUUUGGCAUGCUGCCGCAACUGUACUGACAUUGCGGCUGCGUAAACACAUACAAAGGGGACUAGUCGGGUGACAUCCAGAGUUCUAUUGCACACCACCCACAAAUCAGUCAAUGAACAGUUGUUACCACUUGGCACACUCGUGCCGCUUUUCCAUUAGUCCCAAACAAUCCCACACAACACUCCGAGCUCACUAACAUUCAUUUGACUGCCCGUGCAAGUUAACGGGUCGAGGUCUUUACUCUGCGGCGUCUGAAGCCGGUUGGCGGUUGCCCAAAACCGCCAUCUCCGAGGCGGGAGCCACAACCGUUGGGUUGGGGAAACGGUGACGUUCCGCUCUGGCUGCAGGAGACCUCUCAUUCAAGAGAAUGGGACCCACUGUGUGAAAGUAGCCAUUUCUGCCCAACUGCAAAAUCAAAGUGUUUCACUUGUUGCUGCUCUGAGAAACUGGCUGUGUUUAAUCUUCAGGGGCGGUACGGGGUGGUUCCUCAUUUUGCGACGUAGAAAAGUGAGGAUGUAAUUGUUUUCUUGGAUUGGGCAGAGCGGUCGCUGAGAGGUGGAAUGAGCAGGAAUGCUCAGAGAUGGGGGAAUCGAGGAAACCACCACCAUGGCAGUGUUUUUUGGUGAGGAAUUCCUAUUUUAACAUGGCGAAAAGCUGUAUAAAGUUGAUUUAGCGUGAUGUGUCCUCUCUAAAGGGAGAGAUUGCAGUUUUAAAAUUGCAACCUCAUUUCACUUGACUAAGAUGUCCCCUCAUCGAGUCUCUGACACAAGCCACAGGGUCCUCACUUUUGUGCACAAGAGGAGCACUGUCUUGUGUGCUCCAAACAAGCCUACAUUAGCCCUGUCUGUUACUAUGCUAGCAUUACUUAUUCAAAAUAGCGUUACGAUAACACUAAUCAUUAUCGGUUUCAGGUUUUGUUUUUUUUUUUUGUAGAUUGUGGUCCAGCUUUUCAUUAUGAGCCUGAGUAUCGGGACAGAUUUGUCUCAAAAUGAUUCACUCAACUAUAUUUGUUUUCUUUCACGUGUUUUUGAGAUCCACAAAUAUGUCAGUGAUUUUCAAGUUUUUGAGAUCCGCAAAUGCUGUAUAUGCGCGAUAUUGACAUGUUUUUUGAAAUCCACAAAUAUACGUGCGAUUUUCAUGUUUUUCAAGUCCACAAAUAUUUGCACAAUUUACAUGUUAAUGUUGUAUGAGCAUUUAUCAUGACUUGUCCUUUGUAAAUAUUCAGUUCCACUUGUGAAUUGUUGAAUGUGCGUUUGUGGAUCAGCGUGCAUGCUCGUUGAUUUUGAAACAAACGUUUUACACAGUUUUAAGGUACUCAGACACACACACACACACACACACACAACAGUUGAAAAUAUUUGCAUGUGUUGAAACGCUAUUCCUUCUCCAUCCGCCAGAAGGCAGUGUUGCUGUUUCCAGUGAGCCGGAAUGAGGCAUCGCCUGUAUCGCUUCUAUAAAUUGGAAAUUGAAACACGGAAAACAUGCUUUUAUCUGGUCUACGCAUUGCAGGAAGCACAGGAUAGUGCCAUCGACUGUCGUCAGCGGGGUCUAAGUGAAGUAAACAAUUCAUUGUGUACAAUGGACUCGAGUUACAUCCUUCUUAAAGGAAACAAAAGGCUGGCGCUCAAGGGAUGCAAUGUGAUUGUGGAUAAAAUUGCCAGAAUCUUCCAGGUAUGUACCACUUUAUUUUCUCCAUUGGCUUGGAGUACAUGCUAAAAUGAGCAGUUGCUGUUGUAUUCCAAAGGGUGUGGGUGUGUGUGUGUGUGUCUGUGUGUGGGGGUGGGGCGGGGGGGGGGGGAUUGAACCCACAUGUGCUCGUUUACGUGAUCUCUUGUGUUACCCAAUCAGCUCCCUCUUCCAAUUAGUACCUUGCAGAAAAACUAGUUGCUAAUUGGGUCACGCUCUGUUGCACUGAUUGGUUAGACAAGCUGUGAACAAAAAACAAAAUAAACGGCCACAAAAUAUCGUGAGCCGUUUAAAAGCUAAACCCAAGGCUGUAUAUCCAAAUCACCUCAUUCAUUCAUUUUUAUUUUUAUUUCAGGCAAUAAUAAAAGCAACAGCCAGUGUCAUAUUCCAACAAAUUCUAAUCACAAAUGAGGAAAUUGGUAACAAAAAGUUAAUAUCCCUGAAAGGGCAUCGGAAGAACAUUUAUUUAAUCAACUAUCAUUAAAAAA